AUGAAGGUGCAAGUGUUUCUACCCGCUACCAUCAUCAUGUCCAUGUUAAUGAUGGUGCUAAUCAAAGUGCGACGUGACGAGGCCCAAGAAACAUUAAAACGGGCCACUUUCGUGGACAUUAAGGUGCGGGUGAGCGACGACGUGUUGCGGGAGUACGCGGGCGAAAAAGCUGAGCUCAAGCAAGACAUCGACACCGCAAAGGACCAAUAUAAAGAGACAGACAAAGACAUGAAGCCGAUCCAAGAAGCGGCCGACAAGGCCAGGCUUGAGGCUGAAAAAUGCGCAGAAGAACAGAAAUCUAUGAAAGAUGAACUGGACAAAUUGGAGACGGAACACACAAAUCUGAAAGCUGAAUUCGAUAAAGAAAAUGAGAGUUUCAAGGCCGAACUGGAAGCACUGAAGAAGCAACUACAAGAGAAGAGUCCAGUGUGUGCGUUUGUGAAGACGAAGUCAGAUGCAGGUAAGCUGUGUGGUGAAGAGGUGAAAGAGGUGAAAGAGGAAGAGCCCAAAAAAGAUGAGUCCAAACAAGAGGCCCCUGCAGAGUCGGCGGACGCAAAGGCAGCAGCGGCGUCCAAAUGAAUUCAAGCGAGACUUGAACAGAUGACAUAGAGGCGUCGCAGCGCCGUGAGAUAGUUCUGGAUUUUCUGCGUCCAAAGGAGGGUAAAUGUUGAACUGGGAUCGCUGUCGGACGGGUGGAAGAUUUGAAAAUAAAAGAAUUAUUCAAAACACAAAUAUUCGUCCUUGGUGGUUCAAGCAAAUCGUCACUUUUACAUUUUAUUUUAUUUUUUUAUUUACAAUUUGUUAAUAAAUCACACAAGGGUGAUUGGAGAGGCUUACACCCCCCCCCCGGUGUGUGUGUGUGUGUGUGUGUGUGUGUGUGUGUGUGUGUGUGUGUGUGUGUGUGUGUGUGACCUAUCCAGUGUGCACCCCUGUUCUUGCCCAAAGGCAGCUGGGGUUGGUCUGACCCCCACAACCUUGUUAUGGGGAAAUCUCCAGAAGACAGAUGAAUAUUAUAUGAUAGAUUUUGAAAAUUCCAAAGGCCCACAUCUCUUCUAAGACCGACAGUAAUGUUCUGUGACAGGUGAAUGCAGAGUUUGAGAUCCCGUUUCGCUUCAGUAUCCUGAAAAUCAGCUUUGACACGGGUGAAAUGAAGGCGGAAAAUGGACCAUUAUUAAUAAAAACCUUUCACUUUGAUCUGUUGACCUGUUUGGUCUCUCUCUUGAUGGCUGUUCAGUUAAAAAUCCUCUUUAUUCAUCCCCAUUUGGAAUUCCAUGCGGUUGUUCUCUGCCCUCCUGCCAUCUCUCUCUAUAACGCCAUCCAUCUGUUUGAGGUGAAGAUAGUCCCCUCAGGCUCACAAUCAGGCAAUCAGAGGACCAUUAUUCUGCCCCAGUAGGCUCACAAGGUCACCGGCACGCCAGGACAGGAUGCAGCAGCGGGGCCGAGUGGCGUCUGCAGCCAUGCACGGGGGUCACCCUUGAUUAAAGGCUUGAUCGGAGGCUUGCAUCAAGCUGCGUGAAAGAGGAAAGGACAUUUAGGUGCAAACUUCCUGUACGCGUUCUCUGUGGACAUCGUCCUUUCCUGGCGAUUCGCCGGACAUCACUUCACUGUGCUGCUGAAGGAAAACUUUGGACAGGGACGCAGCUAGUGAGUGACGAGGUGACCGGCAUCCGUUGGCGCUUGUCCUCCCUACAGGCCAGAACUGACCGUUAUUGGACUCUGCAUCUGUGGUCAUGGCGAGCAAGAGGGAGGGAGAGAAAGAGAGCAAUCAGAGGAGGAUGAACAUCACAUCUAUUGAUUAGGUUAAUGUGGAGAGGAAAGGCUGCAGGCCACAUCAGCUGAUCAAUAUGCCUCUAAUUACAUGGCUGUGUGUGUGUGUGUGUGUGUGUGUGUGUGUGUGUGUGUGUGUGUGUGUGUGUGUUACAGUGUAACCAGUAACCCCCCCCCCAAAAAAAACCUCCCAUGGAUGUAUAUAAAUGGCGUCCCAGAGUGGAAUUGCUCCCACAUUCGUACACUCGGAUGACAGCUGCCUAAUUUAAAGUUUAGUUGAUCUUUUACGUUUCGCGUUUUAAAGCCGCAGCGUAUCAGGAUUCACCUGGACGGGAUCUGCAGGUGUGUGUUGGUAAGUAUCGACAUAUUUGCCUCUAGUUGCAAGGGUGGUGUCAUUUCUAACACUCCUUUGUAGUCUAUUUACGAUUAAGCUCUAGGCUGAAGUCCAUCCCGGGACACUUUAUAUGCAAACCAGAUUCCAGAUUUACUGCUGCAUGCCUGCCACUCUUGAAUGAGUCGUUUCUCCAGUG
ensembl:lncRNA